rnacentral:ncRNA from 1 species
UAAAAGGCGAUGACAGAGAAAAGUAGGGUUUGAAUUGUUUAUUCAGAGAGCUUCGUUUGCUGAGAAGAAGUUAAACGUCAAACUUGAACAAUGGUCUCAUAGAGCUUCGAACUGAACAUAAUUUUUAUUAUAAGUAGGUUGCGACGGGAUUUGGUACUCGUUAUUAAUAUCAUAGUAUCCAUGCUAAUAUAGCUAGUGUACUUAUAAAGGCUAUUUAUGUAAUUAAAUAGUGAAAUAAGGUGGUACCACGUUACAAACCACGUCCUUAUC